UAGGGAAUCUUCCGCAAUGGGCGAAAGCCUGACGGAGCAACGCCGCGUGAGUGAUGAAGGUCUUCGGAUCGUAAAACUCUGUUAUUAGGGAAGAACAAAUGUGUAAGUAACUAUGCACGUCUUGACGGUACCUAAUCAGAAAGCCACGGCUAACUACGUGCCAGCAGCCGCGGUAAUACGUAGGUGGCAAGCGUUAUCCGGAAUUAUUGGGCGUAAAGCGCGCGUAGGCGGUUUUUUAAGUCUGAUGUGAAAGCCCACGGCUCAACCGUGGAGGGUCAUUGGAAACUGGAAAACUUGAGUGCAGAAGAGGAAAGUGGAAUUCCAUGUGUAGCGGUGAAAUGCGCAGAGAUAUGGAGGAACACCAGUGGCGAAGGCGACUUUCUGGUCUGUAACUGGCGCUGAUGUGCGAAAGCGUGGGGAUCAAACAGG
rnacentral:rRNA from 1 species